rnacentral:rRNA from 1 species
UACGGAGGGUGCAAGCGUUAAUCGGAAUUACUGGGCGUAGAGCGCACGUAGGUGGUUUGUUAAGCCAGCUGUGAAAUCCCCGGGCUCAACCUGGGCACUGCAGUUGGAACUGGCAAGCUAGAGUAGGGUAGAGGGGUGUGGAAUUCCAGGUGUAGCGGUGAAAUGCGUAGAUAUCUGGAGGAACAUCAGUGGCGAAGGCGACACCCUGGACUCAUACUGACACUGAGGUGCGAAAGCGUGGGGAGCGAACAGG